rnacentral:tRNA from 3 species
GGACAGGUAGCUCAGUUGGUAGAGCAAUGGACUGAAAAUCCAUGUGUCGGCGGUUCGAUCCCGCCCCUGUCCA